rnacentral:miRNA from 1 species
AGCACAAAUUAUGAGUCUGCU